rnacentral:rRNA from 1 species
AGCAGUCGCCGCGGGAAUACGAGGGGGGCAAGCGUUACUCGGAAUUACUGGGCGUAAAGCGUGCGUAGGUGGUGGUUUAAGUCCGUUGUGAAAGCCCUGGGCUCAACCUGGGAAUUGCAGUGGAUACUGGGUCACUAGAGUGUGGUAGAGGAUAGUGGAAUUUCCGGUGUAGCAGUGAAAUGCGUAGAGAUCGGAAGGAACAUCUGUGGCGAAGGCGACUAUCUGGGCCAACACUGACACUGAGGCACGAAAGCGUGGGGAGCAAACAGGAUUAGAUACCCCGGUAGUCCCUGUCUCUUAUAU